rnacentral:rRNA from 1 species
GACGAACGCUGGCGGCGUGCUUAACACAUGCAAGUCGAACGGAAAGGCCCUGCUUUUGUGGGGUGCUCGAGUGGCGAACGGGUGAGUAACACGUGAGUAACCUGCCCUUGACUUUGGGAUAACUUCAGGAAACUGGGGCUAAUACCGGAUAGGAGCUCCUGCUGCAUGGUGGGGGUUGGAAAGUUUCGGCGGUUGGGGAUGGACUAGCGGCUUAUCAGCUUGUUGGUGGGGUAGUGGCUUACCAAGGCUUUGACGGGUAGCCUGCCUGAGAGGGUGACCGGCAACAUUGGGACUGAGAUACGGCCCAGAAUCCUAAGGGAGGCAGCAGUGGGGAAUAUUGCACAAUGGGCGGAAGCCUGAUGCAGCAACGCCGCGUGCGGGAUGACGGCCUUCGGGUUGUAAACCGCUUUCGCCUGUGACGAAGCGUGAGUGACGGUAAUGGGUAAAGAAGCGCCGGCUAACUACGUG